GACGGAGGAGGCUAGCGUUGUUCGGAAUUACUGGGCGUAAAGCGCGCGCAGGCGGCUUAGCAAGUCAGGGGUGAAAGCCCGGGGCUCAACCUCGGAACUGCCUUUGAGACUGCUAGGCUCGAGACCGAGAGAGGAGAGUGGAAUUCCCAGUGUAGAGGUGAAAUUCGUAGAUAUUGGGAAGAACACCAGUGGCGAAGGCGGCUCUCUGGCUCGGUACUGACGCUGAGGCGCGAAAGCGUGGGUAGCGAACAGG
rnacentral:rRNA from 1 species